UACGAAGGGGGCUAGCGUUGUUCGGAAUUACUGGGCGUAAAGGGCGCGCAGGCGGUCAACCAAGUCAGAUGUGAAAGCCCCGGGCUCAACCUGGGAACUGCAUUUGAGACUGGAUGACUUGAAUCCGGGAGAGGUGAGUGGAAUUCCGAGUGUAGAGGUGAAAUUCGUAGAUAUUCGGAAGAACACCAGUGGCGAAGGCGGACUCACUGGACCGGCAUUGACGCUGAGGUGCGAAAGCGAUGGGGAGCAAGCAGGGAU
rnacentral:rRNA from 1 species